UACGUAGGGUGCAAGCGUCAAUCGGAAUUACUGGGCGUAAAGCGUGCGCAGGCGGUUCUAUAAGACAGAUGUGAAAUCCCCGGGCUCAACCUGGGAACUGCAUUUGUGACUGUAGAGCUGGAGUACGGUAGAGGGGGAUGGAAUUCCGCGUGUAGCAGUGAAAUGCGUAGAUAUGCGGAGGAACACCGAUGGCGAAGGCAAUCCCCUGGGCCUGCACUGACGCUCAUGCACGAAAGCGUGGGGAGCAAACAGG
rnacentral:rRNA from 1 species